rnacentral:rRNA from 1 species
UACGUAGGGUGCAAGCGUUGUCCGGAAUUAUUGGGCGUAAAGGGCUCGUAGGCGGUUUGUCGCGUCGGGAGUGAAAACGCCGUGCUUAACACGGCGCUUGCUUUCGAUACGGGCAGACUAGAGGUAUGCAGGGGAGAACGGAAUUCCUGGUGUAGCGGUGAAAUGCGUAGAUAUCGGGAGGAACACCUGUGGUGAAGACGGCUCUCUAGACCGCAACUGACGCUGAGACACGAAAGCGUGGGUAGCAAACAGG